GGAAACGUCUUUGAGGUGGAAACCAAUUGA
rnacentral:piRNA from 1 species